rnacentral:rRNA from 1 species
GAUGAACGCUGGCGGCGUGCCUAAUACAUGCAAGUCGAGCGAACAGACGAGGAGCUUGCUCCUCUGACGUUAGCGGCGGACGGGUGAGUAACACGUGGAUAACCUACCUAUAAGACUGGGAUAACUUCGGGAAACCGGAGCUAAUACCGGAUAAUAUAUUGAACCGCAUGGUUCAAUAGUGAAAGACGGUUUUGCUGUCACUUAUAGAUGGAUCCGCGCCGCAUUAGCUAGUUGGUAAGGUAACGGCUUACCAAGGCAACGAUGCGUAGCCGACCUGAGGGGGUGAUCGGCCACACUGGAACUGAGACACGGUCCAGACUCCAACGGGAGGCAGCAGUAGGGAAUCUUCCGCAAUGGGCGAAAGCCUGACGGAGCAACGCCGCGUGAGUGAUGAAGGUCUUCGGAUCGUAAAACUCUGUUAUUAGGGAAGAACAAAUGUGUAAGUAACUAUGCACGUCUUGACGGUACCUAAUCAGAAAGCCACGGCUAACUACGUG